UCCGCGUGACCUAAGUCCCAGUUAGUGCUGCUACCAGCAGCUUGCACCAUUAUCCCUUUGUUUCGCCGUCUUUAUUGCUUUUUCGCUCCUCUCAUCCGAACGGGCUGACUUCCUGAAGUCUGCUAACUCAAUACCGUGAAAGGGAUCCCUUACUGAGAACUUAAUAAUCCAAUUUUCAUUGUGCUUCGUCGUUUACACCUGCCACUAUCGUUAUUCGACACAUCUACGCGUGCCGUGCAAGAUUUCUCCUUCGUCGUCCGGUUUGUACAUGUAUAACUAUAAUCGGAUCUGCAUCCGCCAACGGAAAUUACCGCUUGCGGCAUCGUCCGGAAAUUCGCGAACGAACCUGUCUAAUAGUAAUAAGCGGUACGCUUGAUAAUCCUGCCAAGCGACCGUUUUACCGGAAGUUUCAGUAUAUUCAACUUAAGUUAGUGAAAGUUUUCGUUUAGGCAUAUACUGAUGUUUCUGUACGUUUCGAGUCUCGUAAAAUCGACGAUAAUCUGCAGUUGCAUAAAUUUCUGUCGUUGCAAUACUGCGGCGUUCCAGGGCGAAUUCAGAUGGAUCAGGAACGUGAUAAUCGAUGCAUAAAUCCUUCAAGUUGAGCAAAAUCGGAACGGCAAGCAGGAGAAUAUCGCGUGAAAAUAUUUACCUCACGAACGUUACACGUCGCUUUAACGUACUUUAAUACGCGUUUC